rnacentral:miRNA from 14 species
AGCGCUAUCCUUCCGUUGUAUU